GGGCCCAUAGCUCAGGUGGUUAGAGCAGCUGACUCAUAAUCAGCCGGUUCCAGGUUCGAGUCCUGGUGGGCCCACCA
rnacentral:tRNA from 3 species